AUACGUAGGUGGCAAGCGUUGUCCGGAAUUAUUGGGCGUAAAGCGCGCGCAGGCGGUCCUUUAAGUCUGAUGUGAAAGCCCACGGCUCAACCGUGGAGGGUCAUUGGAAACUGGGGGACUUGAGUGCAGAAGAGGAAAGUGGAAUUCCAAGAGUAGCGGGUAAAUGCGUAGAGAUUUGGAGGAACACCAGUGGCGAAGGCGACUUUCUGGUCUGUAACUGACGCUGAGGCGCGAAAGCGUGGGGAGCAAACAGGAUUAGAUACCCUGGUAGUCCACGCCGUAAACGAUGAGUGCUAAGCGUUAGGGGGUUUCCGCCCCUUAGUGCUGCAGCUAACGCAUUAAGCACUCCGCCUGGGGAGUACGGUCGCAAGACUGAAACUCAAAGGAAUUGACGGGG
rnacentral:rRNA from 1 species